rnacentral:rRNA from 1 species
AUGCGUGAUCAGGUCGGCCUCGACCUGGACGGCUUCCCGCUCGACCACGAGUUCCCGGACGAGUACAGGCCGGAGGAAGAGGACGAGUGCGACAUCGAAGUGGAGCCUUUGUUCGAGGACGAGCUCGCCAACCAAGCCGCCGGUCCUAAGCCGAAGCGCAAGAGCAAGCGUACGAAGGUGUACACGGCGGCCGAGGACAAGCUUCUUUGUGAGUGUUGGCGAGACAUUGGACAAUACCCCAAGACGGGCGCCGAGCAAAAGCAUUCAACCUUUUGGAUUCGUGUCCAUCGAGAGUUUCGUGAGCGCAAGAAGUUUUCGCCGUACCAAUUUGUGAGCACGCGCGGGUGGGUCUCCAUUUCCAAGCGGUGGAGGGUGAUCCAACAAGAGUGCAACAAGUUUUGCGCCACUCUUGAGAGCGUCAAGGCCCGCCCCGUGAGCGGCAUCGGCAUGCAAGACAUGGUAUGCUAG